rnacentral:rRNA from 1 species
UACGAAGGGGGCUAGCGUUGUCCGGAAUUAUUGGGCGUAAAGAGCUCGUAGGCGGUCUGUCACGUCGGCUGUGAAAUCCCGAGGCUCAACCUCGGGUCUGCAGUCGAUACGGGCAAACUAGAGUAUUGCAGGGGAGACUGGAAUUCCUGGUGUAGCGGUGAAAUGCGCAGAUAUCAGGAGGAACACCGGUGGCGAAGGCGGGUCUCUGGGCAAUAACUGACGCUGAGGAGCGAAAGCGUGGGGAGCGAACAGG